rnacentral:rRNA from 1 species
UAGUCCAUGCCCUAAACGAUACUUACUCGACAUGUAUAUGCGUGUCCAAGGGAAACCAUUAAGUAAGCCACCUGGGGAGUACGUUCGCAAGAAUGAAACUCAAAGGAAUUGACGGGGGCCCGCACAAGCGGUGGAGCAUGUGGUUUAAUUCGAUGAUACGCGAGGAACCUUACCAGGGCUUAAAUGUAGAGUGACAGGACUAGAGAUAGUUUUUUCUUCGGACACUUUACAAGGUGCUGCAUGGUUGUCGUCAGCUCGUGCCGUGAGGUGUCAGGUUAAGUCCUAUAACGAGCGCAACCCCUGUUGUUAGUUGCCAGCGAGUCAAGUCGGGAACUCUAACAAGACUGCCGGUGCAAACCGUGAGGAAGGUGGGGAUGACGUCAAAUCAUCACGGCCCUUACGUCCUGGGCUACACACGUGCUACAAUGGUAGGUACAGAGGGCAGCCACUGCGUGAGCAGGAGCGAAUCCUAAAAACCUAUCUCAGUUCGGAUCGGAGUCUGCAACUCGACUCCG